AACGAACGCUGGCGGCAGGCUUAACACAUGCAAGUCGAGCGCCCCGCAAGGGGAGCGGCAGACAGGUGAGUAACGCGUGGGAACAUACCCUUUCCUGCGGAAUAGCUCCGGGAAACUGGAAUUAAUACCGCAUACGCCCUACGGGGGAAAGAUUUAUCGGGGAAGGGUUGGCCCGCGUUGGAUUAGCUAGUUGGUGGGGUAAAGGCCUACCAAGGCGACGAUCCAUAGCUGGUCUGAGAGGAUGAUCAGCCACAUUGGGACUGAGACACGGCCCAAACUCAUACGGGAGGCAGCAGUGGGGAAUAUUGGACAAUGGGCGCAAGCCUGAUCCAGCCAUGCCGCGUGAGUGAUGAAGGCCUUAGGGUUGUAAAGCUCUUUCACCGGAGAAGAUAAUGACGGUAUCCGGAGAAGAAGCCCCGGCUAACUUCGUGCCAGCCGCCGCUGUAAGAC
rnacentral:rRNA from 1 species